GUUUUAAUUGCACUGUACUACAAUUACCGUUGUUCGCUGUUGUGGCAAUAACACGUGGAAAGAAAACAAAGGAAAGCAAGCAAAAACAACAGCUGAACAGAUGACUACAACAAUUGCAUGAUAAGCGUAAUUUGCGAAUGCAACAAUGCGAAUUAGUCGUAUAACUCAUUAAUGAGAUUCGCGGCAAUGCAACGCUGCAGUGGCGGCAGCAUCCGCAAUUUUGACACGGCGGCGAGUCGUGCGAGUUGCGAAACUUCGGCGGUAUUUUCGCAUUGCGGCUGCUGGCCAAUUGAAGCGCUUAAUGGAAUGCGUUUAUUUUUAUCACAGCUACGAAAUUCUCCGCCGUUUCAUUGUGUUCGUCGCGGUGUAUUGCGAUGGCAGCUGGAGAAAUGGUUGCACAUUUCGGAAAAUAACAUUUUCAUAGCCGACAUUAUAUAGUCGUCGACGUAUCCCAAUAAGCCUAACGGAUAACCAAAAGUUCGUCAUAAUGAAGUAAUAAUCCGCAAUCACUUGUUCAAACCGUUUAAUACUAUCGAUAUAUAGCGAUAAUAUCGAAUCAAAAAGCAUCACCCAUCUUGAGACCCAGCUUUCAUUUUUGAAUAACAUUCGACUGAAUAGACCGCGUCCAGCACGCAGUGAAGAAAGUAUAGCAGUGUACACAAAAACCGACGAGAGUCGAUUCGGCACAGUUCGCAGCAGCUCGGACUGACGUAUGGAACUAUUCGGCAUAUUUAUGUCAAGAUCUUCACUUCACUCUACGUGUUCUUGAAAAGUUCAAAGUAGAUCCGACGUUUUCGAGUCAAAUUUUGUUCAGCGAUGACGCCCAGUUUUGGCUCAAUGGGUACGUAAACAAGCAAAAUUGCUGCAUUGGGACGAAAGCAACCUGAAGAAAUUCAAGAGCUGUCAUUUCAUUCAGAGAAAACAAAGGUUUAGUGUGGUUUGUGGGUCGGUGGAAUCAUCGGUCCAAAAAUGAUGCCGGUAAGAACGUAACCGUCAAUGGCGACCGUCAUCGCGCUAUGAUAACCGAUUAUUUGCUGCCUGAAAGUGAAGCUCGUGAUCUCAGCGACAUUUGGUUUCAACAAUACGGCGCCACAACCCACACAUUGCAUCAUUCAAUGGAUUUAUUGAGAGAAUACUUCUCUGUGAGCAGACCUUUUCACGUUCUGGGUCGAUUGGCCACCAAGAUCAUGUGAUAUCACACCAUUAGACUUUUUCCAUGUAGGAUAUGUAAAGUCUAAAGUACAUGCGACCAAUCCUGCUCCGAUUCAGGCCUUGGAGUAAAACAUCACGCGUGUCAUUCUCCAGUAACCAGUCGAAAUGCUCGAACGAGUCGUCGGAAAUUGGACUCAACGGAUGGACCAUCUGAGAUGUAGCCGCAGCCAACAUUUGAAAGAAAUAAUCAUCAAAUAAAAGCCAAAGAAAGUUCUUUCGAAUGAUAAUAAACAUGCAAUAUUAAAUUUGAA